AACCGCAGGUCAGCGGCUAAUCCGUCCGCCUGAAAAGCGGAAGGUCGGCGGUUCGAUCCCGCCCCUGGCCA
rnacentral:tRNA from 1 species